UCUACUCUCCCAACCCCAAUUCCCCUGAAUUCUGUCUUUACGCGAGAGCUGGUGCCAAAGAAGAGGUCCGCCCCAGCCCAGCCUCCGCUCAUGCGCGCAGAGGCGGUGCCGAGGACGGGGCAGAUCAACCCGCGCGGCUACACCUACCCGCGCGGAAAGGGCGGGGCAUGCAAAUUGAAAAUGGCGCUUCAGCCCGAGGACGACGAAGCUACCGCAGGAGAGGGAGGGAAGUCCGCCAUCUGCAAGCCAAGAGAGGGAUCUCCCCGGAACCCUGCCACGCUGGCACCCUGAUCGGGGACUUCCAGUCUCUCCAGAACGCUCUGGCUUGUCAGAGGCACUCAGCAAAUCAUUGCCAGAGAGAAGAAUGGAUGAGCCAAGGGUUGUGCCUGACAGUUGGCUGCCUGGCCUCGGGGGAAGACCUCUGCCCUUGGAAGACCUUUGGAAGCAUCGUGGUGAUGUGACACCCCGGGGCAGGUGCUGGGAGUAGACAGAGGCAGGCCAGAAGCCGUUCCUGCCCUCAGGGCGCCUCCAACCCAGGAUGGGGGCUAAGACACCGGCCCAGAUGGCCAGAACACCAAGCAGGACAAGGAGGAGGCCAGUGAGAGAUGAACAGAUGGUUGGGGUGUUUGGACCACAGCCACCCCUUCUCAGGGAAGCCAAAUGAGUUGAGCAGAAGGUGGUCUGAUGCACACAGAUC